CUGAUUAGCUAGUUGGUGAGGUAACGGCUCACCAAGGCAACGAUCAGUAGCCGGCCUGAGAGGGUGAACGGCCACAUUGGGACUGAGACACGGCCCAAACUCCUACGGGAGGCAGCAGUGGGGAAUCUUCCGCAAUGGGCGAAAGCUUGACGGAGCAAUGCCGCGUGAAUGAAGAAGGCCUUCGGGUCGUAAAAUUCUGUCCUUAUUGAAGAGAGGUUCAUGUGUAAACAAUGCAUGAAUAGGACGGUAGAUAAGGAGGAAGCCCCGGCUAACUACGUGCCAGCAGCCGCGGUAAUACGUAGGGGGCGAGCGUUGUCCGGAAUCACUGGGCGUAAAGGGCGCGUAGGCGGUCUAGUAAGUCAGAUGUGAAAAGUGAGGGCUCAACCCUUAGAGUGCAUCUGAUACUGCUAGGCUUGAGUACAGAAGAGGAAAGCGGAAUUCCUAGUGUAGCGGUGAAA
rnacentral:rRNA from 1 species